UACGUAGGGUGCGAGCGUUAAUCGGAAUCACUGGGCGUAAAGCGCACGUAGGCGGAUCCUUAAGUCGGGGGUGAAAUCCUGGAGCUCAACUCCAGAACUGCCUUCGAUACUGAGGAUCUCGAGUCCGGGAGAGGUGAGUGGAACUGCGAGUGUAGAGGUGAAAUUCGUAGAUAUUCGCAAGAACACCAGUGGCGAAGGCGGCUCACUGGCCCGGUACUGACGCUGAGGUGCGAAAGCGGUGGGGAGCAAACAGG
rnacentral:rRNA from 1 species